GAUUCAUGGCUGGCGUCAGCGUUGAGCUGCUGGUGGUCCUGACUGCGAUUCUGCUGGUUUCAGUAGAGGGAUGGGAGCGGCUCAAGAAAAUUCAACGUACUAAUGUUUGAGAGCCGCCAGCGGUCUCAUCCACGAAGUGUUAACUCGCCAGGCUCAAAGGAUCUGCUGGCUGUCAUGGAUGCUCCAGAGUCUUGUGGUUAUGAAGUGAACCCUCUAACACCUUGGCUGUACCCUUCACCGGGUGCUAUGUGAAACGGGUAGGUUUCUGCUGCCAAAGAUGCAUGGUUGCGGCAUCCCCACAGGAGAGAAGGUGACUUGUGGCCAGUCAAGAAUAUCAUCCUCAGACUGUGAGAUGAUGGGAUGCUGUGUGGAUUCUUCUACAUCUGCCUGCUACUACCCAAUGGAUGGAAGUUGGUGAGACAAUGAUCUAUCUGGCUGAAGUGCAGACUGUCAUCCAAUCUCUGACCCUCCAGUAUGGUGUAAUUACAACACGAGAUCCACUCAGGUUCAUGGUUGAGUGUCGCUAUAGCAAAGCAGGUGUUGCUCCACAGUCCCUAACCAGCGUUGGCUACAUGGUGAAGACCCCGAGUCCCAGCUUGCCAUCAGCAGUCCUCUCUCAUGGCUUAUAUGCUGUUGACUUGAGAAUUGCUAAAGAUCAGACGUAUUCAAGCUACUUGCACACAAAAAAUCGGCCCUUACGACUGCUCCUGGGCAAUCCAGUCUAUCUUGAAAUGCGCCUCAGAUCACCAAAACCAGAUGCAGUAAUCCUUGUCAACUACUGUGUAGCUUACCCUUGCUCUGCAAGGAAUGCACUGGUGCUUAUUUAUGAAGGGUGUCCCAACCUUUAUGCUCCAAAUGUGUCCAUCCUUAAAAUCAUUGAAUGCAAAAAGGCGGUUCGUGGUUGAAGCCUUCCAGUUUAUGGUUCAAAAGACAAAUGAAUACAUUGACGAAGAAAUCUAUUUCAUGUGCUCUACAGAAGUGUGUUUAGCAGCAGAUAGGCCAUGUGAACAACGGUGCUUUGAUGGAAAGGCACCAUGCAGAUGCUGCAGAAGACUUAUGAAGAUAAGGGGGAAGAAUAAAUAAACCAUGUUUAACACAUA